GUGCAGCCAAUUUAACCUACUGUGUACUGUGCCUAUUUGGGCUCCAUGUAUAACGUCUGCAGACAGCCAACAGGCUCCUCUGUAGCGUAUGCAGCCAGUGAGUUGUAUGGGCUAUUCAAAGGACCUUGGAGACAGUC